UUAUAAAAAUUUCAUCAAUUGUUAGUGUUAAAAAUUAACAUGACUGAUGGAAUAAUUAGACAGUUACACAUGACAUGCUAUAUAUAUCUCAUGCUAAUUUACAUAUCAAUUUUUUAACAAUAGAAAUUAAUGAAAUUUUUAACA
rfam:Gossypium raimondii Chr04_contig_24, whole genome shotgun sequence.